AGGGCACCACCAGGAGUGGAGCCUGCGGCUUAAUUUGACUCAACACGGGGAAACUCACCCGGCCAGGACACAAUAAGGAUUGACAGAUUGAUAGCUCUUUCUUGAUUUUGUGGGUGGUGGUGCAUGGCCGUUCUUAGUUGGUGGAGCGAUUUGUCUGGUUAAUUCCGAUAACGAACGAGACUCUAGCCUAUUAAAUAGACGAUAUAUUAUUAGUCUAUCGAGCUUCUUAGAGGGACAGGCAGCUUCUAGCUGCACGAGAUUGAGCAAUAACAGGUCUGUGAUGCCCUUAGAUGUCCGGGGCUGCACGCGCGCUACAAUGAUAAUAGCAGCGUGCAUUAAAACCUUUUCUGGUAAGAAUUGGUAAACACGAAAUAUUGUCGUGCUUGGGAUAGGGGAUUGAAAUUAUUGCCCUUAAACGAGGAAUUCCCAGUAAGUGCGAGUCAUUAGCUUGCGUUGAUUACGUCCCUGCCCUUUGUACACACCGCCCGUCGCUACUACCGAUUGGAAGAUUUAGUGAAU
rnacentral:rRNA from 1 species